rnacentral:rRNA from 1 species
GGUUCGGGACACAGCUUAGAAAUGACUGCUAAUACCGGAUGUGCCGAGAGGUGAAAGUUUUAAUGCCUGUAGAUGAGCUUGCGUUCGANAGCUAGAUGGUGGGGUAACGGCCUACCAUGGCGACCAUUGAUAACUGGUCUGAGAGGAUGACCAGUCACACUGGGACUGANACACGGCCCAUUACUCCUACGGGAGGCAGCAGUGGGGAAUUUUCCGCAAUGGGCGAAAGCCUGACGGAGCAAUACCGCGUGAGGGACGAAGGCCUGUGGGUUGUAAACCUCUUUUGUUAGGGAAGAUAAUGACNGUNCCUAANGAAUAANCAUCGGCUAANUCCNUGCCAGCAGCCGCGGUAAGACGGAGGAUGCAAGCGUUAUCCGGAAUUAUUGGGCGUAAAGCGUACGUAGGCUGCUNAUUAAGUCUGUUGUCAAAGCCCGAGGCUCAACCUUGGAUCGGCAAUGGAAACUGAAUAGCUCGAGAGAGAUAGGGGCAGGAGGAAUUCCNGGUGUAGCGGUGAAAUGCGUACAUAUCUGGAAGAACACCNGUGGCNAAAGCNUCCUGCUNGAUCUCAACUGACGCUUAAGUACUAAAGC